rnacentral:rRNA from 1 species
GUGAGAUGUUGGUUAGUCCGCAACGAGCGCAACCCCUACUUGUUAGUUGCCAUCAUUCAGUUGGGCACUCUAGCGAGACUGCCGGUAAUAAACCGGAGGAAGGUGGGGAUGACGUCAAAUCAUCAUGCCCCUUAUGACCUGGGCUACACACGUGCUACAAUGGUUGGUACAACGAGUUGCGAGUCGGUGACGGCGAGCUAAUCUCUUAAAGCCAAUCUCAGUUCGGAUUGUAGGCUGCAACUCGCCUACAUGAAGUCGGAAUCGCUAGUAAUCGCGGAUCAGCACGCCGCGGUGAAUACGUCCCGGGCCUU